CUCACUCUAGCCCUGGAGUGGGAAGGACUAGCUGCCUAGGAGUGAGGCAGCUCCAACCUGGUAAACCUGCAGGCCUUGGUAAAGGCCCAGAAAGGCCACUGCCUUCUACUGCAUGGAUUCAUACUAGCGCAUGUACUUGCCCUCCAGUGAAGCUGGCCUGAAGAGAGAGUAUGAGAAAUAUGUUUGAAGACAACUGUGUUUGGUAGGCUCCUACCCCUUCGCCCGUUCUACAAAACAAGAUUCCACACAAAUAUUUAAGUACCAUCUACCAGGCAGUGGAAAGCAAAAAGACUGUCAAGAGCAUGAGAGUAAGUGCCCCUAGAGCACAGUCAUUGGCACACAGCAGCUAAUGAACAAUUGCUUUGAAGACCUCUGUAGAAGAUCACAGCCUGUUCAGGUUAAAUAAUUUUCCAGAGAAUCGGAAACGUAUCUGUUGUAGCAGCAUUGAGCAUUGCUGCAUAGAAGAGAUUAAACAAGAAUGAACCAAUUACACAGCCCUGCUUAAUAUCAUUAGUGAUAGGAAAUGGAUCAGACAGAACACCAUCUACACGGACUCAUCAGAGCAUUCUGUCAUGCAAUAGCCUCUGAAUGUUGGUGAAUUUACAGAACAACCAAACUUACAUGAUAAUUGCCACAGUCCAGAUCUACUUAUGGUAUCAAAUGCUUUAUCCAGGUAAAUAAAGACCAUAUAGAGGUUCUGUUGCUGUUCUCUGCAUUUCUCUUUCAUCUGACAGGCUACAAAUAUCAUGUCUCCCAUUUCUCACGUUGGCCUAAAACCACAUUGCAACCCCUUUGGCAAUAAGUAGUGAUGUUGUAUAGCAGAUGAUCAAAGAGUACUCUUGGCCAGUACCAUUCCAACAAUGGAGAGUAAUGAGAUACUGAAGACUUUUCACCUUUCCUCUUGUACAAGGUGACAAUGGUGGUGUCUCUGAAGUCUUGUGACGUCUUCAGUACUCCAUAUAUAGAGAAAUAGUCCAUGAAGUCAUCCUACCAGGAUCUUGCCUCCAUACUUGAAUAUUUCUCCAGGAAUGCCAUGAGAUCGACGAACCUUGUAGUUCUUCAUUGUACUGAUUGCCAUGCUGACUUUGUCAAGUAAAGGGGCUGUGUCCAGGUUGCCAUUACAUGUUGACUGAUCCGCUACUCUUAUUAGUGCCUUGUCUGUAAUGUUGGACAGUGUGUUCAAAAGAUCACUAAAAUCUGUCAUCAGCUCUGAAGGAUUUCUCCUUUGUCAAUAAUCAGUGCUAGGGCAUCCACACUCUUCAAAGGCACUAUAGUGGUAUGUGAAGGACUAUAAACUGCUUUGAAAGUUGUAUAGGUCUUUGGUCUCCUGACAGUUGGCCUAGCACUGGAUUUAAUUUACCUUUACAUCCCACCACUGAUCCCACAUAUCUCUAAGCUUAGAUUGCAUGUCAUGACAGAUGCCAGUAUGUUAUAACUGUGCGUACAAGGACAUGAGAUACAAGAAUUAGAUGAUGCAUCUCAUGAUUUUUAGUGAGUACCUGUUGAAUUUCUGGAUCAUUUUCAUAAAACCCAUCUUGAUAACAUCAUUUGCUGUACCCAUGGUGGCAUGAGCAGCUCAGUAUACAAUGUUGUGAAAAGUCACUGACCCACUCUUUACGUUAGCACUAGUAAUCAAGCCAGCAGGGUCAGACAAAGCUGCUGCAAUGUUAUUACAGAGCUGCGCUUGUGUAGCUUUAUCUUGUAAAUCGCUUUAUGUUGAGCCGUCUGACUGGGUUUAGAUUUUGAGUUGUGAUGUACUGGUCAAAUUAAUAAAAUUAGCUUGAAAUGGAUCAUGUGAUGGUCUGACCAGCAGUCUGCCCCAUACAUGGCUGAAGUGAUCUGUACAUCCUGUCUAUCUCCCCACCAGACAAUGAUGCAGUGGAUAAAAUGUCACAAUUUGGAUCUUGGAUGCAUCCAUGACAUUUUCUUUUUGUUUGGUAGAUGGAAAAAGAUA